CGCACAUUGCGCCCUUUGGUAUUCCGAAGGGCAUGCCUGUUCGAGCGUCAUUAUCACCCCUCAAGCCCCGCGCUUAGUGUUGGACGGCCUGGUUGGAGACGAUCCCUCCUAAAGACAAUGACGGCGGCCUCGUGGAACCCCCGGUACACUGAGCUUCUUUGGAGCACGUAUCGGACAGCGGGUGCCCGGGACCCGGUCUCCGGUUUUCCCCCCUCGGUGGGAAAACACCCUUCUCAAGGUUGACCUCGGAUCAGGUAGGAAUACCCGCUGAACUUAA
rnacentral:misc_RNA from 1 species